rnacentral:rRNA from 1 species
UACGGAGGGUGCAAGCGUUAUCCGGAUUCACUGGGUUUAAAGGGUGCGUAGGCGGGUUGGUAAGUCAGUGGUGAAAUACUUUCGCUUAACGAAGGAACUGCCAUUGAUACUAUCAAUCUUGAAUGUAGUGGAGGUAGGCGGAAUGCGUCAUGUAGCGGUAAAAUGCUUAGAUAUGACGCAGAACACCAAUUGCGAAGGCAGCUUGCUACACUACUAUUGACACUGAGGCACGAAAGCGUGGGGAUCAAACAGG